GGCAGCCAUUGUUGAUGUUUGCAUUGCUUGCUGGGGCCAGGAGAAUUCCACGAUUACAGCUCAAAUAGAAGAUAAUUACUGUCCCUGAGAGUGAGUGAGGCAGGAUGAGUCUGAUGGAUGCUUAGGCUGAGAGUCACGCCGCAGGGUCAGUGAGGGGUACGGCCGGCAGUAUGGUGACUUUUACGGCGGCGGCAGGUCAUCACAGGAGUACUCAUGUGACAGAAGCAGCAGUGGGGGGCGGUCACAGGGGAGAGGGCUGAUGUCGAAG